rnacentral:lncRNA from 1 species
GUUUAAUGAGAAGGGUUUUGCUUGAUAGGAUACACAUAACUCUGUGAUGUUGUAUUGGAGAGUGUCUCAGUUUUAAAUCAUUUUCCACACAGUCUGUGCCUGAAUUUAGUUUUCAUACUCGUGAGGGCUGAGAAUCCACUCUCACAUAGGUACGUGGUUGCAAAGGGCCGUGUCUUAACAGUGCGAUUUGCCAAGGCAGGAUACUCUGAGCUCAGCCCAAUCCAGAAAUCAGGCAGUGGCUUCUGAUUUUAAAUGACAUUUUCACAGAACUGCUUGUUGCAAUUUCGGUGAGGCUCUCUUGUUCAGAUAUUGUUAAGUGGACUGGAGGCAGGACAUGAAAGGGAUAACGAAUCCAGUUGUUUAUGUCAUCUGUUUCGGGAAAGUACCUGUGUAAUUGCGCACCCAACUCACUCAGGUGCUUCACUAUAUCACAUUAGACGUUGUCCGUAAGCUUGAGUUCAUUUGCACACAAAUCAUACAAUGAUGGAAAGAUCUGUGUGUUGUCCUUGUUAUGCAGACAAAGAAGAGGUCCAACUUCUUAAUCAUGGCUUCAAUUUUGUCCCACACAUUGAAUAUAGUUGCAGAGAGUCCCUGUAAUCCUAGAUUCAGAUCAUUCAGAACAGCCUCAAUCGUUGGGGCAUAGACUCUACAAGGUGUGGAAAGUGUUCUACAGGAAUGCUGGCCCAUGUUGACUCCAAUGCUUCCCACAGUUCAAGUUGGUUGGAUGUCCUUUGAGUGGUGGACCAUUCUUGAUACACACUGAAAACUGUUGAGCAUGAAAAACCCCUGCACCAUUGUAGUUCUUGACACACUCAAACCAAACCGCCUGACACCUACUCCCAUACCCUGUUCAAAGGCACUUAAAUAUUUUGUCUUGCCCAUUCACCCUCUGAAAGGCACAAACACACAAUCCAUGUCUCAGUUGUCUCCAGGCUUAAAAGUUGGUGAUUCUGAGACCAGUCAUAAAAGGAACUGGUCUCACUAGAAAUAGUGACUUGAGUCAGAGAGUGACUUUCCCCAUCUAGACUGUCAUCUACUAGAACUGUGAUGAAGACAUUGUAACACUAGCCCAAUCAUAGAGAAAGGAACAAGUAUGACAUGGUCAUUCUAGAAAGAGUCACUUAACAUAUCGACCUGAUCAUCAACUGGAACCUGGAUGAUGGCAUUAUUACACUAGUUAGUCUACUUAAAUACACAGUAUUUUAACAUACAGGAAAUAAGUUAAAACCUCAAUUCUCUCCACCUCCCAUCUCUUAUUCAGUCAGCGCCAUGAGGAAGACUCUUCACCUCCCAUCUCUUAUUCAGUCAGCGCCAUGAGGAAGACUCUUCACCUCCCAUCUCUUAUUCAGUCAGCGCCAUGAGGAAGACUCUUCACCUCCCAUCUCUUAUUCAGUCAGCGCCAUGAGGAAGACUCUUCACCUCCCAUCUCUUAUUCAGUCAGCGCCAUGAGGAAGACUCUUCACCUCCCAUCUCUUAUUCAGUCAGCGCCAUGAGGAAGACUCCACCUCCCAUCUCUUAUUCAGUCAGCGCCAUGAGGAAGACUCUUCACCUCCCAUCUCUUAUUCAGUCAGCGCCAUGAGGAAGACUCUUCACCUCCCAUCUCUUAUUCAGUCAGCGCCAUGAGGAAGACUGUCAAUUGACUGUCUUUAUAAUCUCAGUAAGAGUGAAAAAAUACUCAGAAUUACUUUUCAUCUCUGCAUAAUAGAUGGAGGGAGGAAACCACAGCUCUCUGUCGCCAGCUAAUCCUCCUCACCUUCCUCUCUCCUCCAAUCUUAUCACAUAUUAAAGGCUAGAUGAAACAGCAGAGUUCUACACCCCACUAUGUGGUUAGACAUCUGAUCUUGGAGAGAUGUUUAUUCUAUUCUGCUGAGACAUUUACUAUGUUGCUGUUCUUAUCUUUUAUUAAGGGUUCAAGCCAGUGAAGCUGGGCAAACCCUGUUGUAUUUGUUGGCGUUCAUUAUUAUUAUACCGCUUCUUCUUGCGAAGAAAGUUAACAUUCAAAUUCCCGUGAGAUGGUAAGGCCGAAGAGGGUGAAACAUGGUAAAGGCCCAUAGUCUACACUCUCUGGUGCCAAGCCAUUCCAAUUGGCCACAAGGUGGUGCUAUAACAGGUGAUUGAAAUGGCUAACUUGGAAGGGUCACGCCCCUCACCCCAUAUGACCUAGAGUCCUGAAAUUCAGUGCAUAGGUCCCUCUUCUCACAAGGAACACAUUUUCCCCAAGGUCUGUCAUGAUGGAUUUUCCGCCAUUUUGAAUUUUGUGAAUAACACUUAAAUGACAUCUCGUCCGGAACCACUGGGCCGAUCUGGAUGUACAUUGAUGUGUCAUCUAUGGACCAAGGUCUCUCAAUGCAAUAUUUUGCAGACUAUAUGUCAAACCCCAUGGUCACUACUGACCAAUAAACAUUAAUGUGGGGGUUGUCUGGCACAUUAAUGCUAAUUAGACACGGAUAUUCGUAUCGUAACCAAACUUUCCAAACACGGUCAACACUCAACAUAUGUAAGCACAUUCAGAUCGGCCACACGGUGGCGCUAUACAUCUCAAUCUGUUUGACUCAGAGUGAUGAAAUUUGGCACACAUGCUAAGGGAUAUGAGUCUAGCUAAUCUAAAGUAUUGUUCAGUUUGGCCGCAUGAGGGGCGCUGUUGGACAGGAAAAACCACUCAUGCAAGCUCAUUGGCUUAUUGCGGCCAUAUUGUUUGAGCUCUUAUAAAACGUGUGUUUGAAGAUGUGCAUCUAUAGGUGCUAUAUACCACAUUUGGUACCGAUCAGUCUAUCGGUUCUGGAGAAGGCGUUUUAAAGUUGACAUCUAGGGUUGCAAAAUUCCGGGGAACUUUCAAUAAUUUCCCCAAAAUCCUGAUUGGAGGUUUCUAGAAUCAGGAGAGAAUAAGCAGAAUAUCCAGACUCCUGCAACCAGG